rnacentral:lncRNA from 1 species
UUUUUGCCAAGGCCUUACCAUUAUAUUACUUAUUUUUUUAAUAAUAAAACUUGUAAAACUUUCUAUUUGUUACAUAGUGUACAGACCCAAUUUUACCCGGGCCUAGUGCCAAAAAUAUUAACCCGGGGCCCAAUUACAAAAACAAAUACCUAAUAGCCCAAGGCCUAAAAUCUAAAACGGCCCAUUGGGGCCCAAAAAUUAAACAGCACAGGGAACCCUAGGGUUCCCUGCCCUUGCCCGUGCCGCUGCUCCCAUGUGCAUUGUCAGCACGCCCACCGCCCGAGGUCUGCUCUUCUGGUACGGCCUUGCACCAAUGCAGCAAGUUGACUUUGCCCGAACCUGCAACACAAUAAAACAGCAAGGACAAACAGAGCAAAAAAAGCAACAAAGAAGAAACAAGAAAAAAGAAACAGAUAGGACCUUGUAGUUUCGGCUAUAAAGUCAUUUCUCUAAAACGAUUGUAAAUGGGGGAUUUUGGUAAAAAAAAACACAUUAGCAUAAAGAAAUAAAAGCAAAAAAAAGAUUCAAGGUUUUUUUAUAUUAGAUUCGCACUUCUUUUUUUUAUUUUUUUAUUUUUUUGUACAUUAAAUAGAGAAUAAAGGAAAAGGAAAAGAGAUUACCCGAAUUACCCCGUCGUUCCACCGUCUUGGGCUUCGCCGGAUUGGUGUUGAAAGGAGGGGCUAAGGGCUUUCUUUUUCUUUUUUAGGGUCGAAAAUCCAUACCUUCAGGUUCAUUUUGGAACACGGCCAAAGAGGGCCUUCUCACGCCGCAUCGGCCUUUGGCCGCGGUGGUCACACGGCAAAGCGCCGUUGAGACAAGCGCCGGAGUUCAGAGAACCAAAGAGGGAUGGGGAAGCUCCCUCUCUUUCUUUUUUUUAUUCUUGCGG